UUAACAUGAAUGAAGUACUUGACAGAUCAAAGAAGAUGCAAAGUAUUAGAUUGGCCCAAGCGUUUCCAAAUUAUCUGUGGGAUUGCUAGGGGACUACUCUACCUUCAUCAAGAUUCCAGAUUGAGGAUUAUUCAUAGAGAUCUAAAAGCUAGUAAUGUUUUGCUUGAUAGUGAGAUGAACCCAAAAAUUUCAGAUUUUGGCAUGGCCAGAACUUUUGGAGGAGACCAGACUGAAGCCAAUACUAACAGAGUGGUUGGAACUUAGUAAGUCUACUUUUUCUGCAAAUUUGAUCUAUAAAUCCCCAUGAAACUCUUAUCUGACAAUGUUCUGCAGUGGUUAUAUGGCACCAGAAUAUGCUAUCGAUGGGCUGUUUUCGGUAAAAUCAGAUGUGUUUAGCUUUGGCAUAUUGUUGUUGGAGAUAAUAAGUGGAAGAAAGAAUAGAGGAUUCUAUCAUCAAAAUCAAAGCGGCAACCUUAUUGAACAUGUAAGCCUCAUUGUCAUUAUCUUUUAUUACAUAUCUUGAACUGAUGAAUGAUAAAAGAAUUUCAUUUUGCUGCAGGCAUGGAGAUUAUGGAAAGAAGGCAAGCCUUUGAAUCUUGCUGAUGAUUUCUUAGCAGAGACUGGCAGUCUAUCACAGGUGUUACGAUGCAUCCACAUUAGCCUCUUAUGUGUGCAACAGCAUCCUGAGGAGAGGCCAAGCAUGUCAUCCGUGGUUCUGAUGUUGGGAAGUGAAAAUGAAUUGCCUCUGCCCAAACAACCUGGUUUUUUGUUUCACAAUAGUCCCUUUGAAGCAGAGUCUUCAUCAGGCAACCAUGGAUCAUCUUCGAGAAACGAAAUAAGUUUAUCACUUUUAGACGCUCGAUAGAGGGUGAUAUGCUCCAAACCAUCAGUAAUGACUCCAAUCCCACUUGAUGUUUGGGGCAUGUGCUUUUAGAGCCAAUGCUAGUGAGAAAUGUUUCAGAAAUCAAACAUGCAAUCAAGUAUAAAUAGUGGUGUUUUGUUUAUUUCAUGGAUAGAUAAGAUUGAAGGGCCAAACUGAAGCUUCAUACAGUUAACAUGUACAAAUUCCAUGCAAUCUCUUCAUUUACAAGUUUUUGACUUAUCUUGUUUUCUACUGCAUUUAUGUAAUAUCAAGAGCCACCUAACCUUGUCAACUUGAAAAAUGAUAAUAUUAAUGCAUGAUGAGCCCAUCUUUCCCCUCAAUAUAAGUGUUAAUUAGUGUGAUAAAUGAAUCAACAAACUAACAUCAUUGUCUCUGUAUCAUUUUGUGCAUAAUCAAACAUUUGUUAUCAACAAGAAGAAAAGAUCAUUCAUACUACAGGGAUUGCUCAGUUCCUUUUGCUUAAAUCCAGAAGCGGCUAAGUACCAUGAGACUGUAACCUCUUUUUGGGGCACAAACGAAUGGACUUCACAUACAAGAUUAGUCAAGCUAACUAGCAAUUAGAUCUUUAACAGAGGCUAGGGAUUCCAAGGCUGUAGAGUUUUCAUCUUCAUCUUUGUUUCAUCGUAGUCCAACUCUUUGGUUAUGGGGGCUUCAAAGGAGUUGGAAGACGUAUCGAUGAGGUUGUCAGGGCGUCGCAAAACAAAAAGAAAAGGGAAGAGCACGCUGAUUGUACGUGACUGACAGCUGAUACGAGGUUGGCUUUGUCCUGUUGCAGACAAAGAUUUGGUGGGCCCAACACGUUGGCAACAAUAUCAAACGUAAGAGUGAUAAUAGAUUUGGCAAAGUCAUGAACACAUCACUCAGGGGAGGGGGAUUUGGCAAAAUUAUGGAGUGGUACUAGCAAUUAGAGGAAUGGGCCGACAUGCUUAAUGGGCUUGUAGUGCACUAGCAAUUUUUUAAUGGGCUUAUUGUGGAUCAAGGCAUGUUCUAAAGGGCUUCUUUUGAACAACAAAUAUUGGUUUUUUCUUUGUUAAAGUCAUUGUAGGAGUAGUCAUCAGCGUAAUUAAAAAACCGACAGUUCCGCUUGCCCGACGCUACUUUCCGCUUGGUUUUGUCAUAACAAUAAUGUUGACUUAAUAAUAAAUAAUUAUGUCAUUCACCAUGUAUUUUUGUUAGUUUUUGAAAGUUCUCUUUAGAUUUGCUGGCAUGACUUCAAAAUUAUAUAUAAUUAAAUAAUAUAUAUAUAUAUAUAUAUGUAUAGUAUUGUUUUGAAGAAGAAAAAGAAAGGAAAAUGGAGUUCUAUGUGCAAAAGAAUUGAUUUUAUUUGUUGAAUCAAAUAAAAAAUAAUUAAAUGUAUAAUUGAAAAAUCAUAUACAGAUUUUUUAAAAAACAGCAUAUCUAUUAAUUAGAAAUAAUAAUAAAUUAUAUAAAUAUGUGAUUAAUGUUAAUUGAUUAACUAUUUUAAAUUAAUUACAUUAAUGAAUUAACUAAUUAAUUAGUUAAUUAAGAUAAUUAACUAACUAUUUUAUUUCCAAAAUAAUUUAAAUUAAUUAAUUUAAUUCUUUAAAACUUAACUAAUUUACCAAAAAUAAAUAUUUAGUAAUUUCACAUAUUUUAAUAUAUAAAUAUUUAGUAUUUAAAUAUUAGGUUAGUUUUGUCAUGCUAUUAUUUAUUAUUUUAAGGGAUAAGGUUGAAAAAUUAAAAAUUUACCUGAAAAUAAUAAAUAAAAAGGUAAGUUUGAAAAUAUAAGGGUAAUUUUUUAAAUUUACAUUACAUUCUCAUACUUCCAAACCAAAGAAUACCAUCUAAUCUUCCCAGCAAUCAUAUUACAUGCAAUCAUCAUUUGUCUAUGAUAUAUAAAACGUUGCAAAGUUUUUUUUCAUUCAUCAUAUUCCCUACAAUUAUCAUUUUUUUAUAUUAUACAAAAUGCUGCAAAAUUCUUCUCAUCUAUCAUAUUCCCUACAGUCAUCACUUUUUCAUAUUAUAUCAAUGCUGCAAAAUUCUUCUCAUCAAUAACAUUCUCAAUAAUCAUAUUAUUAACAAUCACAUUUUCAAUAAAAUAUUAAAAAACCCGGUUUAUACUACUAAGAACAAACUAAUUAACAUGAAAAUAAGGGAAAUUGACACGAAGUCAAUUCUAUCGGUCCCUUAGGACUUGUGAUUGCAAUUUCUUGUAAAUUCAGCCUAAAAGUAUAGGAAGACUUGACUUUUUGGUAAUCAUGUCGACUUCAUAAUAGUUAUUGAGAAGAAAAAAUCUCCAUGACGUACGUUUUUUUUAAGUCUAGAUAUGCAUGUUUACUUAAUUACUUGCAUGUUGAGUGGUCUUGGUUUAAGUCAUAGUCUUACGGUCUAGUAGUGUACAAUGAAAUUAAUUUUAGAGGUUACUUUAUGAUAUAAUUGAGUGUAAAGUUCCCUGAUUUUUUUGUGUAACAAAGAACUUUAGCAUCUUGGGUUUAGCUCUACAUUAAGCUAGGGCAGACAAGAAUAUACCGUUUCAUAGUUUUUUAAACUUAACUGCAACUUAUUUCAGUUCCUAUUUAUCAAUAAUCUUAACUUGACAGCCAUCAUAGUUAAAUAUCUAGUUAAAGAUACUUCUAUCUCCAAGAAGAAGUUGAGACCUAUAGAAUAGUUGUAGUCUCUGUCACGAUUGAUGAAGAAUUCCAAGGUCAAUGGACCCAAAGUCUUGCCUUGAAGCCUGAAGGUCAAUGCUGUUUAGAAUGUUCAAUCAAAUGGCAUCUAUUCUUAUCUUCCCAGCAAAAGGCUUUCAGACCAUACAUCCAUGGGCAUGGAUAUCCUUUCUUUCAGUGCUUGUUUCCUCAUCAUCUUCUCGAAAGCUUCCAUCGCACUCGACAAGAUUUCUCCGUCUGAGUCACUCACUGAUGGCACGACCUUGGUCUCUAGUGAUGGAAGCUUUGCAUUGGGUUUCUUCACUCCGGGGAGUUCCAAGAAUCGUUACUUGGGAAUUUGGUACAAUAACAUCCCCAUGCAAACUGUUGUAUGGGUUGCAAACAGGAUAAAUCCAAUAAAUGACACCACUGGCUUGCUGAAGAUAGAAAGCUCUGGCAGAGUCGUGCUUCUAGGUCAGAACCAAACAACUGUUUGGUCAAUUAAUUCCACAGAAGCAGCUCAGAAUCCGAUUCUGCAGCUCCUGGAUUCAGGCAAUCUUGUUGUCAGAGAUGGAAAAGAUGGUGAUUCAGAGAACUACUUGUGGCAAAGCUUUGAUUAUCCAACUGAUACAAUGUUAGCAGGGAUGAAGAUUGGUUGGGACCUGAGAACUGGUUUAAAUCGAAGACUAUCAGCAUGGAAGAACUCAGAUGAUCCAUCUCCUGGGGACCUUACUUAUGGGGUAGAACUCCAAGGCAAUCCACAGAUGGUGCUGCGGAAAGGCUCAGAAAAGUACUAUCGCAGUGGCCUAUGGAAUGGCAAUGGGUUUAGUGGUGUACCAAAUUUAAGAUCAAAUCCGGUCUUUGAUUACGACUUUGUCUGGAAUAAGGAGGAGGUGUACUACAUAUUUUACCUGAAAAAUAAAUCGGUGAUGUCAAGGUUUGUUUUGAACCAAACUGAAAAGGUAAGACAGCGGUACACAUGGAACCCAGAAACUCAGACUUGGAAGUUGUUUUCAAUCAUGCCAAGUGACUAUUGUGACACACCUGGACUUUGUGGUGCAAAUGGGAACUGCGACAAUUCCAAGCUUCCAGCUUGCCAAUGUUUGAAAGCAUUCAGGCCUAAAUCGCUGGAAAGAUGGAACUCCUCAGACUGGUCUGAAGGGUGUAUACACAAUAAGCCAUUAAACUGUCAAAGGGGAGAUGGAUUUAUUAGAAUUGAGAGGGUGAAAACGCCAGAUACCUCACAUUCUUGGGUGAACAAAAGCAUGAAUCUUAAGGAAUGUAGGGCUAGGUGCUUGCAGAACUGUUCAUGUAUGGCAUACACUAAUUUAGAUAUUAGAGGAGGAGGUAGCGGCUGCGCCAUGUGGUUUGAUGAUCUAAUUGAUAUUAAACAAUUCCAAUCAUUUGGCCAAGAUCUUUACAUCAGAGUGUCUGCUUCAGAAGCAGGUAUCAGUUUAAAAUCGGAACAUAUUCUUGUUAAAGCUUGUGAUAAUUUCUUUUGGAAAUUGUUUAAUUAUAUUUGUGCUCCUUCAACAAUAUUGAUCAUGCAGAACUGAAAAACAAGUCUGAGGCGAAGCUGGCCAUGAUAAUUGCAACGCCAAUUGCUGUGUUCUUGGGGCUUCUUGUAGUCAUAUAUUACAUCCGGAGAAGGAGGAGAAAAUUAGAAGGUAAUAUCAACCAUGGUCCUCAUAAAGCAGGGGAAAGUUGGUAUUUGCUAUCAAAAUCAAUUUCGCCAACAGCAGCGCUAUCAAAUCCCUGCCCUGUUUUCAAGAAAACAGUAAUACUGAAAUUUGCCAUUUCAUUAUAUUCCUUAUCAAAUUUGAUAAUAGAUGGUUUUUAAUUUUGUUUUAUGAUCUGACAAAAAAGAGAGUCCAUGAACAAUUGGUUGGAUACUUUUGGUUUUGGUGUUCAGAAGAAGCAUACAGCUUUUGUUCUUCUCUCUAAAUCUAUCAAUAUGCAUAAGAAAGCCCAUUUCUAUGUUGAAUGCUAGCCUAUUUUGACUACUGUUUCAGAUGAAGUUGAAGAAAGGAUUGAAAAUGACCAAAAGAACCAAGGCCGGAGUGAAGAUAUGGACCUUGCUGUAUUCGAGCUUGGUACGAUAGCCAGAGCUACAGAUAGUUUUUCUUUUCAUAACAAGCUAGGUGAAGGAGGUUUUGGACCUGUUUAUAAGGUAAAGUUGACAGCAUAUUACUACAAUGAUCUCAAUUACAGAGAAUUCAUCUUCCUUGAAAGCUCAUCAAAAUGUUCUUAUUCUCCAGGGGACACUUGCAAAUGGACAAGAAAUUGCUGUGAAAAGACUUUCAAAGAGUUCCGGACAAGGAUUGAACGAGUUUAAAACUGAAGUAAAGUUGAUUGCCAAACUUCAGCAUCGGAAUCUUGUAAGGCUUCUUGGGUGCUGCAUUCAUGGAGAGGAGAAAAUGCUGGUUUAUGAAUACAUGCCUAACAGAAGUCUUGACUCAUUUAUUUUUGGUCAGAAACCUUUCAAUUUUAUAUUGUCUGCUCUCGGCUUAUGAAAUAGUUUUCUUUUGCUGCUUCAAAGGAUCAAAUAGAUAUAGAAUUAACAUGAAUGCAGUAUUUGACAGAUCAAAGAAGAUGCAAAGUAUUAGAUUGGCCCAAGCGUUUCCAAAUUAUCUGUGGGAUUGCUAGGGGACUCCUUUACCUUCAUCAAGAUUCCAGAUUGAGGAUUAUUCAUAGAGAUCUGAAAGCUAGUAAUGUUCUACUUGAUAGUGAGAUGAACCCAAAAAUUUCAGAUUUUGGCAUGGCAAGAACUUUUGGAGGAGACCAGACUGAAGCCAAUACAAACAGAGUGGUUGGAACUUAGUAAGUCUACUUUUUCUGCAAAUUUGAUCUAUAGAUCCCCAUGAAAAUGCAUACUUUUAUCUGACAAUGUCCUGCAGUGGUUAUAUGGCACCAGAAUAUGCUAUCGAUGGCCUGUUUUCGGUAAAAUCAGAUGUGUUUAGCUUUGGCAUAUUGUUGUUGGAGAUAAUAAGUGGAAGAAAGAAUAGAGGAUUCUAUCAUAAAAAUCAAAGCGGCAACCUUAUUGAACAUGUAAGCCUCAUUGUCAUUAUUUUUUAUUACAUAUCUUGAAUUGAUGAAUGAUAAAAGAAUUUCUUUUUGCUGCAGGCAUGGAGAUUAUGGAAAGAAGGCAAGCCUUUGAAUCUUGCUGAUGAUUUCUUAGCAGAGACUGGCAGUCUAUCACAGGUGUUACGAUGCAUCCACAUUAGCCUUUUAUGUGUACAGCAGCAUCCUGAGGGGAGGCCAAGCAUGUCAUCCGUGGUUCUGAUGUUGGGAAGUGAGAAUGAAUUGCCUCUGCCCAAACAACCUGGUUUUUUGUUUCACAAGAGUCCAUUUGAAGCAGAUUCUUCAUCCGGUAACCAUGGAUCAUCUUCGAAAAACGAAAUAAGUUUAUCAGUUUUAGAGGCUCGAUAGAGGGUGAUAUGCUUCAUUAAACCUAUUAUGCUCCAAACUAUCAGUAAUGAUUCCAAUCCCACUUGAUGUUCGGGGCAUGUGCUUUUGGACCAAAUGCUAGUGAGAAAUGUUUUAAAAAUCAACAUGCAAUCAAGUACAAAUAUUAGUGUUGCAUUUAUUCCGUGGAUAGGUAGAUUGAAGGACCAAACUAAAGCUUCAUACAGUUCAGAUAUAACUGAAGCUUCAUACGGUUAAGAUGUACAAAUUUCAUGCAAUCUCAUCACUUACAAGUUGCUGACUUCUCUUGUUUUCUACUGCAUUUGUGUAAGAUCAAGAGCCACCUAAUCUAGCCGGCUUGGGAACCUCAAUAUGAGUGUUAAUUAAUUAGUGUGAUAAAUGAAUCAACAAACUAGCUUCAUUGUCUCUACAUUAUUCUGUGCAUAAUCAAACCUGUGUCAUCAACAACAAGAAAAUAUCAUUCAUGACUAGGAUUCCUCAGUUCCUUUGCUUGACUCCAGAAGUGAACUUAGUACCAUGAGACUGUAACCUCUUUUUGGGGCGCAAACGAAUGAACUUCACAUACAAGAUUAGUCAAGCUAAGUAUCAAUUAGAACUUUAAUAGAGGCUACAGAUUCCAGGUUGAAAGAAGCUGGUGAGGUCUUCAACAAAGAUAUGUUGCAGUUUUAAGGCUGUACAGUUUUCAUCUUCAUCUUUGUUUGGUCGUGGUCCAACCCCUUUGCUUAUGGGGGCUUCGACAGGCGUUGGACGACACGUUGAUGAGGCUGUCAGGGCGCCUUAAAACAAAAAGAAAAGGGAGAGCGUCCUCAUUGUACGUGACUGACACCUGAUACGAGGUUGGCUUUGUCCGGUUUCAGACAGAUUUGGUGGGCCCAACACGUUGGCAACAUUAUCAAACGCGAGAGUGAUAAUAGAUUGGCAAAAUGAAGAACACAUCUCUCACGGAUCCACUUCAGUGAGAUAUGGUGAGGGUCUUACGAUUAUAAAUAUAAAAUUUUUACUAUUUAUUAGAUAUAUUUUUUGAUUUGAUAACAUGAUAUUGUAAUUUAUAAAUUUAGAGAUGUCAACUGGUAGGAUAUUCGUUAAUUUUGAGAUACUAAAAUCUGAAUUCGAUUAAAAAAUAAAAUACCCAAACUCGAUAAUUACCUGAAUUUUUUUUAAAUUUACUAUCCUAACUCAAAUCCUAAUACAUAAUCACUACCCGAUAAUUACUCGAACCCGUUUAAAAAUCUGAUUAUGUAAAAAAUUAUUAAAAUACUCUUUAUAGAUACCCAAUUACCCAAACUCAAAUCUGUACCUGUAUCUAUAUACAAUAAUAUUUUUAUUCAUAUUUUAUAUAAUUCACCAAUAAUUAAAUUUAUAAAAGCACAUAAAUAAUAAAAUUUAAAUUUAAAUAAUCAAAAACAAAUAUCUCAAAUAUCAACUUAAAUAAUUAAAAACAAAUAUUAAACUACAACUUAAACAUUACAAGUUUAAUUAACUAUGUGGGUUUAUCCAUGAAAUUAAAAAAAAUAAUUAUAUUCCAAAAUUAUUCUAAUCUUAUAAUUUCUUUUUAGGUAUAUAUUUUAUAAGUUUAUAUACACAAAAGUAUAUAUUAUAAAUAAUAAUUUUAUAAGUUAUAUUUUCUAUAAUGUUAAUACAAUAUAGCAAGUAAACAUGUUUAUAUUUAAAGUAUAUAUACAAUAGUAAUUGUAUUCUUCAUAAAUUAACACAAUAUAUAAAAUAUAUGUAUUAAAAGAUAUUACAAGUUAAUUAAUAAUCAUAGUUUUAUGAAUUAAUUUAAUUAAUAAUAUGAAUUUGUCUUGAAUUACAUAAAAUUAAAAAAAUAUAUAAUCAGAUUCGGGUAUCGGGUAUCCAAAGGGUGAUAUUUGAACCCUACCUGAACCCGAUACAUGUAUUUUAGGGUACUUUAACUUUAUACAAUCAGAUCAGGUACUCGUAAGUACCCUGUAACAGGAUACCUAUAGACAUCCCUAUAUAAACUUACUUAAAUUUAUUAUUCUUAAUUUUUUAAAUACAUUUUUAUUACCCAUAAACUGUUUAUUAAGUUUACGACUCAUAAGUAUUUACAAACUUACAAUAAUAUAAUAAUUACGGUAAAAUAAUUUUUUUUAUCAUUAAAUUAAAAGUUUUAAUGAUGCAACUUGUCUAUUUCUUUUUGAACAUUAUGAAACUCAUAAAAAUAUUAUUAUUAUCAUCAUAGUCUUAGUUGAAAAUGAUGGUCAACAUCUAAAAAAAAGUGAUUAUCUUCUAGAAAAAGAAUUGCCUCUGCCCAAACAACCUGGUUUUUGGUUUCACAAGAGUCCCUUUGAAGCAAAUUCUACAUCAGGCAACUGCAGAUCAUCUUCUAGAAACGAAAAAAGUCUAUCAAUGUUAGAGGCUCGAUAGAGAGUGGUAUGCUUCAUUAAACCUAUUAUGCUCCAAACCAUCAGUAAUGACUCCAAUCCCACUUGAUGUUUGGGGCAUGUGCUUUUAGAGCCAAUGCUAGUGAGAAAUGUUUCAGAAAUCAAACAUGCAAUCAAGUAUAAAUAGUAGUGUUUUGUUUAUUUCAUUUUGCUGCAGGCAUGGAGAUUAUGGAAAGAAGGCAAGCCUUUGAAUCUUGCUGAUGAUUUCUUAGCAGACACUGGCAGUCUAUCACAGGUGUCACGAUGCAUCCACAUUAGCCUCUUAUGUGUACAACAGCAUCCUGAGGAGAGGCCAAGCAUGUCAUCCGUGGUUCUGAUGUUGGGAAGUGAAAAUGAAUUGCCUCUGCCCAAACAACCUGGUUUUUUGUUUCACAAUAGUCCCUUUGAAGUAGAUUCUUCAUCAGGCAACUAUAAAUCAUCUUCGAAAAACGAAAUAAGUCUAUCAAUGUUAGAGGCUCGAUAGAGGGUGGUAUGCUUCAUUAAACCUAUUAUGCUCCAAUCCCACUUGAUGUUUGGGGCAUGUGCUUUUAGAGCCAAUGCUAGUGAGAAAUGUUACAGAAAUUAAACAUGCAAUGAAGUAUAAAUAGUGGUGUUUUGUUUAUUUCAUGGAUAGAUAAGAUUGAAGGGCCAAACUGAAGCUUCAUACAGUUAACAUAUACAAAUUCCAUGCAAUCUCAUCAUUUACAAGUUUUUGACUUAUCUUGUUUUCGGCUGCAUUUAUGUAAUAUCAAACGUAAGAGUGAUAAUAGAUUGGCAAAAUCAUGAACACAUCACUCAAGGUCAGGGGAGGGGGAUUUGGCAAAAUUAUGAAGUGGUACUAGCAAUUUUAGGAAUGGGCCGGCAUGCUUAAUGAGCUUGUAGUGGACUAUCAAUUUUCUAAUGGGCUUAUUGUGGAUCAAGGCAUGUUCUAAUGGGCUUCUAUUGGACAACAAAUAUUGAUUUUUUUUUAUUAUGGAGGGUUUAUUGAUGGUUUUUUUUGGAAUGGAUUUAUUUAUACAUAAUUACAUAUAUAUUGUAUUUAAGAAAACAAAUAAAAUUUUGAAUUUCCAUAUUACUUUUAUUCUUAAUCUUUUAAAUGUAUUUUUACUAUUCACAAACUAAUUAUUAUAUUUAUGACUCAUAAAUGUAUACAAACUAACAACGACAUAACAAUCACUGUAAAAUAUUUUUUAUUCAUGAUUAAAUCAAAAACUUUAAUGAUACAACUUGUCUAUUUCUUUUUCAACAUAAUGAAAGUCAUAAAAAUAUUAUCAUCAUAGUCAUAGUUGAAAAUGAUGGUCAACAUUUAAAAAAAAAAGUGAUUAUCUUUUUUUUAAUUAAAGUAAUAGUAGAAGUAGUCAUUGGCACGUGAGUAAAAUAGCAUAAUUAACUAGCAGAUGCUUCCGGCUUGAUGCUACUUUCAGCUUGAUUUUGUCAUAACAAUAAUGUUGCCUUAAUAAUUAGUAAUUAUGUCAUUCACCAUGUAUUUUUGUUGGUUUUUGAAAGUUCUCUUUAGAUUUGCUGGCAUGACUUCAAAAUUAUAUAUAAUUAAAUAAUAUAUAUAAAUAUAUAUGUAUAAUAUUGUUUUAAAGAAGAAAAAGAAAGGAAAAUGGAGUUCUAUGUGCCAAAAAAUUGAUUUUAUUUGUUGAAUCAAAUAAAAAAUAAUUAAAUGUAUAAUUGAUAAAUCGUGUAUAAAAUUUUAAAAAAGAGAGUAUAUCUAUUAAUUAGAAAUAAUAAUUGAUUAUAUAAAUAUGUGAUUAAUUUUAAUUGAUUAACUAUUUUAAAUUAAUUACAUUAAUGAAUUAACUAAUUAAUUAGUUAAUUAAAUUAAUUAACUAACUAAUUUAUUUAUAAAAUAAUUUAAAUUAAUUAAUUUAAUUCUUUAAAACUUAACUAAUUUACUAAAAAUAAAUAUUUAGUAAUUUCACAUAUUUUAAUAUAUAAAUAUUUAGUAUUUAAAUAUUAGGUUAGUUUUGUCAUGCUAUUAUUUAUUAUUUUAAGGGAUAAAGUUGAAAAAUUAAAAAUUUACAUUAAAAAAAGGUAAGUUUGAAAAUAUAAAGGGAAUUUUUUAAAUUUACAUUACAUUCUCAUACUUCCAAACCAAAGACUACCAUCUAAUCUUCCCAACAAUUAUAUUACAUGCAAUCAUCAUUUUUCUAUGAUAUAUAAAACAUUCUAAAGUUUUUUUCAUCCAUCAUAUUCCCUGCAAUUAUCAUAUUUUUAUAUUAUACAAAACGUUGCAAAGUUCUUCUCAUUCAUCAUAUUCCCUGCAAUCAUCACUUUUUCAUAUUAUAUCAAUGUUGCAAAAUUCUUCUCAUCAAUAACAUUCUCAGUAAUCAAAUUAUUAACAAUUACAUUUUCAAUAAAAUAUAUAAAAAAAAAACACGGUUUAUACUAUCAAGAACAAACUAAUUAACAUGAAAAUAGGGGAAAUUGACACGAAGUCAAUUCCAUCGGACCCUUAGGACUUGUGAUUGCAAUUUUUUGUAAAUUCAGCCUAAAAGUAUAGGAAGACUUGACUUUUUGGUAAUCAUGUCGACUUCAUAAUGGUUAUUGAGAAGAAAAAAUCUCCCUGACGUACGUUUUUUUUAAGUCUAGAGAUGCAUGUUUACUUAAUUACUUGCACGUUGAGUGGUCUUGGUUUAAGUCAUAGUCUUACGGUCUAGUAGUGUACAAUGAAAUUAAUUUUAGAGGUUACUUUAUGAUAAAACCUAAGUGUAAAGUUCCCUGAUUUUUUUGUGUAACAAAGAAUUUUAGCAUCUUCGGUUUACUGAAACAGUUGGGAGCUCUACAUUAAGCUAGGGCGGACAAGAAUAUUCUGUUUCAUGGUUUUUUAAACUUUAAGUUACUUAACUGCAACUUAUUUCAGUUCCUAUUUCUCAAUAAUCUUAACUUCACAGCCAUCAUGUUAGUUAAAGAUAUUUCCAUCUCCAGGAAGAAGUUGAGGCCUAUAGAAUAGUUGUCGUCUCUGUCACGAUUGAUGAAGAAUUUCAAGGUCAAUGGACCCAAAGUCUUGCCUUGAAGCCUGAAGGUCAAUGCUGUUUAGAAUGUUCAAUCAAAUGGCAUCUAUUCUUAUCUUCAAAGCAAAAAGCUUUCAGACUAUACAUCCAUGGACAUGGAUAUCCUUUCUUUCAGUGCUUGUUUCCUCAUCAUCUUCACCAAAGCUUCCAGCGCACCCGACAGGAUUUCUCCGUCUGAGUCACUCACUGAUGGCACGACCUUGGUCUCUAGUGAUGGAAGCUUUGUAUUGGGUUUCUUCACUCCGGGGAGUUCUAAGAAUCGUUACUUGGGAAUUUGGUACAAUAACAUCCCCAUGCAAACUGUUGUAUGGGUUGCAAACAGGAUAAAUCCGAUAAAUGACACCACUGGCUUGCUGCAGAUAGAAAGCACUGGCAGAGUCGUGCUUCUAGGUCAGAACCAAACAACUGUUUGGUCAAUUAAUUCCACAGAAGCAGCUCAGAAUCCGAUUCUGCAGCUCCUGGAUUCAGGCAAUCUUGUUGUCAGAAAUGGAAAAGAUGGUGAUUCAGAGAACUACUUGUGGCAAAGCUUUGAUUAUCCAACUGAUACAAUGUUACCGGCGAUGAAGAUUGGUUGGGACCUGAGAACUAAUUUAAAUCGAAGACUAGCAGCAUGGAAGAACUCAGAUGAUCCAUCUCCUGGGGACCUUACUUAUGGGGUGGAACUCCAAGGCAAUCCAGAGGUGGUGCUGCGGAAAGGCUCAGAAAAGUACCAUCGCAGUGGCCUCUGGAAUGGCGAUGGAUUUAGUGGUGCACAAAAUUUAAGAUCAAAUCCGGUCUAUGAGUACGACUUUGUCUGGAAUGAGGAGGAGGUGUACUACAUAAAUUACCUCAAAAAUAAAUCGGUGAUGUCAAGGUUAGUUUUGAACCAAACUGAAAAGGUUAGACAGCGGUACACAUGGAACCCAGAAACUCAAACUUGGAUGUUGAUUUCCAUCAUGCCAAGUGACUGUUGUGACAUACUUGGACUUUGUGGUGCAAAUGGGAACUGCGAUAAUUCCACGCUUCCAGCUUGCCAAUGUUUGAAAGCAUUCAGGCCUAAAUCGCUGGAAAGAUGGAACUCCUUAGACUGGUCUGAAGGGUGUAUACACAAUAAGCCAUUAAACUGCCAAAGCGGAGAUGGAUUUAUUAGAAUUGAGAGGGUGAAAACGCCAGAUACCUCACAUUCUUGGGUGAGCAAAAGUAUGAAUCUCGAGGAAUGCAGGGCUAAGUGCUUGCAGAACUGUUCUUGUAUGGCAUACACUAAUUUAGAUAUUAGAGGAGGAGGUAGCGGCUGCGCCAUGUGGUUUGGUGAUCUAAUUGAUAUUAAACAAUUUCAAUCAUUUGGCCAGGAUCUUUACAUCAGAGUCUCUGCUUCAGAAGCAGGUAUCAGUUUAAAAUCGGAACAUUUUCUUGUUACAGCUUGUGAUAAUUUCUUUUGGAAAUUGUUUAAUUAUACUUGGGCUCCUUCAUCAAUAAUGAUCAUGCAGAACUGAAAAACAAGGCUAAGGCGAAGCUGGCCGUGAUAAUUGCAACACCAAUUGCUAUGUUCUUGGGGCUUCUUGUAGUCAUUUAUUACAUCCGGAGAAGGAGAAGAAAAUUAGAAGGUAAUAUCAACUAUGGUCCUCAUUAAAGCAGGGGAAAGUUGGUAUUUGAUACAAAUACCAAAAUCGUUUCUGCUCACAGCACCGCUAUCAGAUCCCUGCCCUGUUUUCAAGAAAACAGUAAUACUAAAAUUUGUCAUUUCUCUUAUCAAAUUUGAUAAUACAUGGUUUUCAAUUUUGUUUUAUGAUCUGACAAAAAAGUGAGUCCAUGAACAAUUGGUUCGAUAUUUUUGGUUUUGGUGUUCAGAAGAAGCAUACAGCUUUUGUCUAUCUAAAUCUAUCAAUAUGCAUGAGAAAGCGUAUCUCUGUGUUGAAUGCUAGCCUAUUUUGACUACUGUUUCAGAUGAAGUUAAAGAAAGGAUUUUAAAUGAUCAAAAGAACCAAGGCCAGAGUGAAGAUAUGGAGCUUGCUGUAUUCGAGCUAGCUACGAUAGCCAGAGCUACUGGUAGUUUUUCUUUUAAUAACAAGCUAGGUGAAGGAGGUUUUGGACCUGUUUAUAAGGUAAAAGUAAGCACAUAUUACUAAAGUGAUCUCAAGCACGGAGAAUUCAUCUUUAUUGAAAGCUCAUCAAAAUAUUCCUAGUCUCCAGGGGACACUUGCAAAUGGACAAGAAAUUGCUGUGAAAAGACUUUCAAAGAGUUCCGGACAAGGAUUGAACGAGUUUAAAACUGAAGUAAAGUUGAUUGCCAAACUUCAGCAUCGGAAUCUUGUAAGGCUUCUUGGGUGCUGCAUUCAUGGAGAGGAGAAAAUGCUGGUUUAUGAAUACAUGCCUAACAGAAGUCUUGACUCAUUUAUUUUUGGUCAGAAACCUUUCAAUUUUAUAUUGUCUGCUCUCGGCUUGUGAAAUAGUUUUCUUUUGCUGCUUCAAAGGAUCAAAUAGAUAUAGAAUUAACAUGAAGGCAGUACUUGACAGAUCAAAGAAGGUGCAAAGUAUUAGAUUGGCCCAAGCGUUUCCAAAUUAUCUGUGGGAUUGCUAGGGGACUACUCUACCUUCAUCAAGAUUCCAGAUUGAGGAUUAUUCAUAGAGAUCUAAAAGCUAGUAAUGUUUUGCUUGAUAGUGAGAUGAACCCAAAAAUUUCAGAUUUUGGCAUGGCAAGACUUUUGGAGGAGACCAGACUGAAGCCAAUACCAACAGAGUGGUUGGAACUUAGUAAGUCUACUUUUUCUGCAAAUUUGAUCUAUAAAUGCCCAUGAAACUCUUAUCUGACAAUGUUUUGCAGUGGUUAUAUGGCACCAGAAUAUGCUAUCGAUGGGCUGUUUUCGGUAAAAUCAGAUGUGUUUAGCUUUGGCAUAUUGUUGUUGGAGAUAAUAAGUGGAAGAAAGAAUAGAGGAUUAUAUCAUCAAAAUCAAAAUGGCAACCUUAUUGAACAUGUAAGCCUGAUUGUCAUUAUCUUUUAUUACAUAUUUUGAACCGAUGAAUGAUAAAAGAAUUUCAUUUUGCUGCAGGCAUGGAGAUUAUGGAAAGAAGGCAGGCCUUUGGAUCUUGUUGAUGAGUUCUUAGCAGAGACCGGCAGUCUAUCACAGGUGUUACGAUGCAUCCACAUUAGCCUUUUUUGUGUACAACAACAUCCUAAGGAGAGGCCAAGCAUGUCAUCCGUGGUUCUGAUGUUGGGAAGUGAAAAUGAAUUGCCUCUGCCCAAACAACCUGGUUUUUGGUUUCACAAGAGUCCCUUUGAAGCAGAUUCUACAUCAGGCAACUACAAAUCAUCUUCUAGAAACGAAAUAAGUCUAUCAAUGUUAGAGGCUCGAUAGAGGGUGGUAUGCUUCAUUAAACCUAUUAUGCUCCAAACCAUCAGCAAUGACUCCAAUCCCACUUGAUGUUUGGGGCAUGUGCUUUUAGAGCCACUGCUAGUGAGAAAUGUUUCAGAAAUCAAACAUGCAAUUAAGCAUAAAUAGUAGUGUUUUGUUUAUUUCAUGGAUAGAUAGAUUGAAGGGCCGAACUGAAGCUUCAUACGGUUAACAUAUACAAAUUCCAUGCAAUCUCAUCAUUUACAAGUUUUUAAUUUAUCUUGUUUUCUGCUGCAUUUAUGUAAUAUCAAGGGCCAGCUAACCUUGUCAACUUGAAAAAUGAUAAUAUUAAUGCAUGAUGAGCCCAUCUUUGCCCUUAAUAUACCAAGUGAGAUAAAUGAAUCAACAAACUAACAUCAUUGUCUCGAUAUCAUUUUGUGCAUAAUCAAACAUUUGUUAUCAACAACAAAAAAAGAUCAUUCAUAAUUCAGGGAUUGCUCAGGUCCUUUUGCUUAAAUCCAGAAGCGGCUUAGUACUAUGAGACUGUAACCUCUUUUUGGGGCACAAAGGAAUGGACUUCACAAGAUUGGUCAAGCUAACUAGCAACUAGAUCUUUAACAGAGGCUAGGGAUUCCAAGGCUAUAGAGUUUCAUCUUCAUCUUUGUUUCAUCGUAGUCCAACUCUUUGGUUAUAGGGGCUUCAAAGGCGUUGGAAGACGUAACGAUCAGGCUGUCAGGGCUUCGCAAAACAAAAAGAAAAGGGAAGAGCACGUUGAUUGUACGUGACUGACAGGUGAUACGAGGUUGGCUUUGCCCUGUUCCAGACAAAGAUUUGGUGGGCCCAACACGUUGGCAAUAAUAUCAAACCUAAGAGUGAUAAUAGAUUGGCAAAACCAUGAACACAUCACUCAUCGCUCAGGGGAGGGGGAUUUGGAAAAAAUUAUGAAGUGGUACCAGCAAUUUUAGGCAUGGGCCGACAUGCUUAAUGGGCUUGUAGUGGACUAGCAAUUUUCUAAUGGGCUUAUUGUGGAUCAAGGACUGUUCUAAUGGGCUUCUAUUGGACAACAAAUGUUGGUUUUUUUUUUGGAAUGGAUUUAUUUAUACAUAAUUACAUAUAUAUUGUAUUUAAGAAAACAAAUGAAAUUUUGAAUUUCCACAUUACUUUUAUUCAUAAUUUUUUAAAUACAUUUUUACUAUCGCAAACCGUUUAUUAUGUUCACUACUCAUAAAUAUAUACAAACUUACAACGACAUAAUAAUUAUUGUAAAACAUUUUUUAUUCAUGAUUAAAUCAAAAUUUUAAUGAUACAGCUUGUCUAUUUCUUUUUCAACAUAAUGAAACUCAUAAAAAUAUUAUUAUUAUUAUCAUCAUAGUCAUAGUUGAAAAUGCUGGUCAACAUUUCAAAAAAAAAGUGAUUAUCUUUUUGUUAAUUAAAGUAAUAGUAAAAUAUCAAGAAACACGGUUUAUCCUAUUAAGAACAAACUAAUUAACAUGAAAAUAGGAAAAAUUCACACGAAGUCAACCCUAUCGGACCCUUGGAAUUUUGAUUGCAAUUUCUUGUAAAUUCAGCCUAAAAGUAUAGGAAGACUUGACUUUUUGAUAAUCAUGUCGACUUCAUAAUAGUUAUUGAGAAGAAAAGAUCUCCAUGAGGGACGUUUUUUUUAAGUCUAGAGAUGCAUGUUUACUUAAUUACUUGCACGUUGAGUGGUCUUGGUUUAAUUACUUAAUUACAGUCUAGUAGUGUACAAUGAAAUUAUUUUUAGGGGUUACUUUAUGAUAAAAUCAAGUGUAAAGUUCCCUGAUUUUUUUGUGUAACAAAGAAUUUUAGCAUCUUUAGUUUACUGAAACAGUUGGGAGCUCUACAUUAAGCUAGGGCAGACAAGAAUAUUCUGUUUCAUGGUUUUUUAAACUUAACUGCAACUUAUUUCAGUUCCUAUGUCUCAAUAAUCUUAACUUCACAGCCAUCAUGUUAGUUAAAGAUAUUGCUAUCUCCAAGAAGAAGUUGUGGCCUAUAGAAUAGUUGUAGUCUCUGUCACGAUUGAUGAAGAAUUCCAAGGUCAGUGGACCCAAAGUCUUGCCUUAAAGCCUGAAGGUCAAUACUGUUUAGAAUGUUCAAUCAAAUGGCAUCUAUUCUUAUCUUCAAAGCAAAUAGCUUUCAGACCAUACAUCCAUGGACAUGGAUAUCCUUUCUUUCAGUGCUUGUUUCCUCAUCAUCUUCUCCAAAGCUUCCAGCGCACUCGACAAGAUUUCUCCGUCUGAGUCACUCACUGAUGGCACGACCUUGGUCUCUAGUGAUGGAAGCUUUGUAUUGGGUUUCUUCACUCCGGGGAGUUCCAAGAAUCGUUACUUGGGAAUUUGGUACAAUAACAUCCCCAUGCAAACUGUUGUAUGGGUUGCAAACAGGAUAAAUCCGAUAAAUGACACCACUGGCUUGCCGCAGAUAGAAAGCACUGGCAGAGUCGUGCUUCUAGGUCAGAACCAAACAACUGUUUGGUCAAUUAAUUCCACAGAAGCAGCUCAGAAUCCGAUUCUGCAGCUCCUGGAUUCAGGCAGUCUUGUUGGCAGAGAUGGAAAAGAUGGUGAUUCAGAGAACUACUUGUGGCAAAGCUUUGAUUAUCCAACUGAUACAAUGUUACCAGGGAUGAAGAUUGGUUGGGACCUGAUAACUAAUUUAAAUCGAAGAUUAGCAGCAUGGAAGAACUCAGAUGAUCCAUCUCCUGGGGACCAUACUUAUGUGGUGGAACUCCAAGGCAAUCCAGAGGUGGUGCUGCGGAAAGGCUCAGAAAAGUACCAUCACAGUGGCCUAUGGAAUGGCGAUGGAUUUAGUGGUGCACAAAAUUUAAGAUCAAAUCCGGUCUAUGAGUACGACUUUGUCUGGAAUGAGGAGGAGGUGUACUACGUAAAUUACCUCAAAAAUAAAUCGGUGAUGUCAAGGUUUGUUUUGAACCAAACUGAAAAGGUAAGACAGCGGUACACAUGGAACCCAGAAACUCUAACUUGGAUGUUAAUUUCAAACAUGCCAAGUGACUGUUGUGACAUACUUGGACUUUGUGGUGCAAAUGGGAACUGCGAUAAUUCCACGCUUCCAGCUUGCCAAUGUUUGAAAGCAUUCAGGCCUAAAUCGCUGGAAAGAUGGAACUCCUUAGACUGGUCUGAAGGGUGUAUACACAAUAAGCCAUUAAACUGCCAAAGCGGAGAUGGAUUUAUUAGAAUUGAGAGGGUGAAAACGCCAGAUACCUCACAUUCUUGGGUGAGCAAAAGUAUGAAUCUCGAGGAAUGCAGGGCUAAGUGCUUGCAGAACUGUUCUUGUAUGGCAUACACUAAUUUAGAUAUUAGAGGAGGAGGUAGCGGCUGCGCCAUGUGAUUUGGUGAUCUAAUUGAUAUUAAACAAUUUCAAUCAGAUGGCCAGGAUCUUUACAUCAGAGUCUCUGCUUCAGAAGCAGGUAUCAGUUUAAAAUCAGAACAUAUUCUUGUUACAGCUUGUGAUAAUUUCUUUUGGAAAUUGUUUAAUUAUAUUUGGGCUCCUUCAUCAAUAAUGAUCAUGCAGAACUGAAAAACAAGGCUAAGGCGAAGCUGGCCGUGAUAAUUGCAACACCAAUUGCUAUGUUCUUGGGGCUUCUUGUAGUCAUUUAUUACAUCCGGAGAAGGAGGAGAAAAUUAGAAGGUAAUAUCAACUAUGGUCCUCAUAAAGCAGGGGAAAGUUGGUAUUUGAUACAAAUACCAAAAUCGUUUUUGCUCACAGCAUCGCUAUCAAAUCCCUGCCCUGUUUUCAAGAAAACAGUAAUACUAAAAUUUGUCAUUUCACUUAUCAAAUUUGAUAAUAGAUGGUUUUCAAUUUUGUUUUAUGAUCUGACAAAAAGUGAGUCCAUGAACAAUUGGUUCGAUAUUUUUGGUUUUGGUGUUCAGAAGAAGCAUACAGCUUUUGUUCUUCUAACUAAAUCUCUCAAUAUGAUUAAGAAAGCGUAUUUCUAUGUUGAAUGCUAGCCUAUUUUGACUACUGUUUCAGAUGAAGUUGAAAAAAGGAUUGAAAAUGAUCAAAAGAACCAAGGCCAGAGUACAGAUAUGGAACUUGCCGUAUUCGAGCUAGGUACGAUAGCCAGAGCUACUGAUAGUUUUUCUUUUAAUAACAAGCUAGGUGAAGGAGGUUUUGGACCUGUUUAUAAGGUAAAAGUGACAACAUAUUACUACAAUGAUCUCAAUUGCAGAGAAUUCAUCUUUAUUGAAAGCUCAUCAAAAUAUUCUUAUUCUCCAGGGGACACUUGCAAUUGGACAAGAAAUUGCUGUGAAAAGACUUUCCAAGAGUUCCGGACAAGGAUUGAACGAGUUUAAAACUGAAGUAAAGUUGAUUGCCAAACUUCAGCAUCGGAAUCUUGUAAGGCUUCUUGGGUGCUGCAUUCAUGGAGGGGAGACAAUGCUGGUUUAUGAAUAUAUGCCUAACAGAAGUCUUGACUCAUUUAUUUUUGUCGGUAACCUUUCAAUUUUAUAUCUUCUGCUCUCGGCUUGUGAAAUAAUUUUCUUUUGCUGCUUCAAAAGAUCAAAUAGAUACAGUAUUAAUAUGAAUGCAGUACUUGACAGAUCAAAGAAGGUGCAAAGUAUUAGAUUGGCCCAAGCGUUUCCAAAUUAUCUGUGGGAUUGCUAGGGGACUCCUUUACCUUCAUCAAGAUUCCAGAUUGAGGAUUAUUCAUAGAGAUCUAAAAGCUAAUAAUAUUUUGCUUGAUAGUGAGAUGAACCCAAAAAUUUCAGAUUUUGGCAUGGCAAGAACUUUUGAAGGAGACCAGACUGAAGCCAAUACCAACAGAGUGGUUGGAACUUAGUAAGUCUACUUUUUCUGCAAAUUUGAUCUAUAAAUGCCCAUGAAACUCUUAUCUGACAAUGUUCUGCAGCGGUUAUAUGGCACCAGAAUAUGCUAUCGAUGGGCUGUUUUCCGUAAAAUCAGAUGUGUUUAGCUUUGGCAUAUUGUUGUUGGAGAUAAUAAGUGGAAGAAAGAAUAGAGGAUUCUAUCAUCAAAAUCAAAGCGGCAACCUUAUUGAACAUGUAAGCCU
rnacentral:lncRNA from 1 species